rnacentral:lncRNA from 1 species
UGGAAAUGAAAGUAAUUUUUCACAGGCUGGAUGACACUUGUUUUAUCAUGAAUCUUAAAAUCCCUCAUAUUUGCUUGAAGCAGUUUUGAAGUUGUCAUAGUAACAGCAUGAUAUUCGGAGGGUCCUUUUAGUAGUUCUUUAGCUCGAGUUAAUUAAUUUUAUUAACUCUGGAUGUUUUUUCUUUUUAUUCUUCUCUGACAAACAAAGGCCAUAAUUGCUCAAAUAUGUAUUUCGUGUUCUUUAUUUCUUGGUGACUGUAGUUCGAGGACUUGUUGUUUUGCAGGUUGUUUCAGGAGAGAAACAAGAAUGUUAUCAGUUGGUUUCAGAUAAGUUAAACUUGAGUUUUUAAUUACUUCUCUGUAAAAUUGCACCACCACUGUAAGACCAGAAUUUGGUUUUAUUUAAAGAGUUGGAUUAUAGGAAAUGUUCUCUCAAAUUUAAUGGUGACUUACACAGUUAAAUUAUGUUACAAGUAUUCUCUCUCUCUCUCUUUUUUUUUUUUUAAUUCUUCUACAUCAAGAAUAAGAAUUGAGGAAUAGAGAAGGGAAAUGUGUCAGACUGCCAGGGGAAAAUUAUUUCUUUAAAAAUGUAACACUCAGAUACAAUAUCAAAAUCAUUUCCACAAGAGAAAAAGAAAUGAGUAAAUCUUGACUUUAUCAAAAUUAAAAGUGCAACAAUGCUUUCUGAAAUUCUAAAAUAUGCCAACAUAAAUUAUCCUCUAGGGAAGUUUGUGGGAAUUUUUUAUUGGGGGAAAGUAGGUCAAGAUCUUCUAUUAGAAAAGCUCUGUGGCAGAAAUUCUUGCCAGUAUGGCGAUUGGUGAGAAAGGAAGCCCUUCUCUUGGGCAGGGAGAGGGUCUGAAGAAAAAAUAGUCUGUAUGAGGUCUGGAUGCAGGGACUUAAAAAAGUAUCAGAUGUUCAGUGCUUUUGUUUUCUUAGAAAAGUGAUCAGAGAGAUGUGGCACUUAUAAAAGGGACCACGUGAGUUCUGUGGGUUUAAUGCUAACACCAGUAUCCCUACUGUCGUGUGAAGUAUUUGUUCAACCAGGGGCGAUUCAAGAAGGUCGGGGUAGCAGCGUGUGCAGCCAACAGCAGUGAAGGUGCUAAUACACGUCCAGUGAUGUCAGGAGUUACGAGACAGAGGUUUCAAAAUACUGCGGUAAACAAGGUCAAAGUGUCCCAUUUUGCUGGAAGAAGGUUUGUUUUUAUGAGCUGAACAGUACAUGGAUGAAGUAAGUUUUCAAAACAAACAUCAAAUUUGGGUUUUAAAAAAUGAACCCGAUGAGAUUUAGUAAGGGGUUACAUUUUUAAGCAAAAUUAUACUUUUUUCCUUUUUUUUUUUUUUUAAAUUGAUUCUCUACAGCGAGACAGGACAAAUGCCGGUCACCAGUAAAAUACCUCUUUUAAUUUUGUGCCCUCCGCUCUUUCUUAAGGCUAAAUUUAAGUGCAAGAAAGUUAAUGGCACAGAAUACUGCUGACUGUGUGGUUCCUGUCUUUAUGCAUUUUCCAACCUUGAACCUGAGAAUGCCAGAGGCUCGCGUCUCUGGACACUCGUCUGAGUGGUUAUCUGCUGGUGGCCUGGUUCCUGAGGUAACAAGUGGGUGUCCCAGGCGUGCGUGUGGUAACAACAGCAGUGGUGCCACGUGGCGCCCAGAGGUUGCCUGGGUCUGAACUGGGGAUUCCUUGUCCUCGAUGAAGCCUCUGAGAUGAACUGUGAACUUGGGGCAUCCGAGAGGCGCAGGCAUUUAGGAGUCCUGCAGCAAACCUGGACCCGAGUGUAAACACAGCUUCCAAAGCGAAAGCAGGGGCCUUGAGGAAAGGAGUUUUACCCUCAUCUCGCUCGCGACCAGCUUACUGUGCUGGAAAACAAAGUAAGUGUUGUUUAUUUCUUUGUUAGUCAGUCUCUCCUACAUGUUUUUUCUUGCUAACAUUAUUAGACACUCAAUAUCUGGCAAAUGCCAAGUUGUUUUUUUUUUUUUUUUUUUUUUUUUUUUUUUCUUUCCCCUUCAUCGGGAAGCAGGAGAUGAAGUUUGUUCAAUAGCUAAUUGCUUCUUUUAUCUUUUCGAUCUCUCUUCCUGCAUCUAAUGUGCUGGCUGGCUUGUUAGAGAUAGUAAGAGACUGAAAUUUAUUAUCAAUGAGAAAACAAAAAAGUUCUCUUUUUCUCCCCCCUCUUUUUAAAUGGUUCAAGAACUUAGCAUUAAUUAAAUGACAGUGACACAGACAAGGCUGUUUAUGUGGUGCGGCCAGGAGCGCAUCUAGCAGAAUAGCCCCGCUUCACUUGCCCUCAUUUCCACUGGAAGCAGGAAGGGCACACGACAGGUAUGGAGACGGGGAGUCUCCACGUGGAAACUGCAGGCACUAGAUGGGAAUGGCUCUUGGACAAGAGGCUGUAAUUUUAAAACCUGUCAGGAAAUGGGAAGGACCCAAAGAAUACAAGUUAUUUAAUGAUGUUGGGGAAAAAAUUUAAUAUAAAAAAUGGGUUAAAAUAGAUAAAGACCUAACCUCAUCAACAGGAACUGAACUUUUUUUUCUUUCAGGUUAGAAAGUUUCCUCCCUUGCAGAUUUAUAGAAAAUACAUUUAAUAACUUAACAAAAUUAGGAAGAGGCUUUAUCACCUACACAGAAGACUUGUCUGUGACAUCAGCCUGCUUCUGACACUUGGUUCUUGUCUUCCACUUUUGUUUUGUUUUGUUUUUCAUGCUGAUCCUGUCUCCAGAGAUGUUAUGCGGCUUGAUAAAUUUUGAAUACAAGGUUCUGUGGUUUGGAAAAUGCAAAACAAGUGGAAAUGCAGAAUGGUUUGUAAUUUGUAAUUAAACUAACCUUUCUGCAGUAAAAGGGACUGCGUUUACAGUAGCGUUUUCUCAGCUUUCAGCAGUGACACUUUGAAGGUAGAAGGGGACAGCAUGGCUGUAGUGUGGCGUUUGGAAAGCAGAAGUCAGGGAUCUUCUGAAUCCAGUAUGGAAUACCGUGUGAAUUUAAGCCAGGGCUUCUGUGCCGUGGGAACGCACGCUUUAUCUCAGAGUGGUGAUGAUGGAACUUGAGGUGGCUGCACUUCGUUUGAAACACUCCGGGCUCCCUCUCUGAAGGUCUGUGAAUUAUUAAUUCAGCAAACAUCUUUAAGCACCUUCUUUUUGUAUGGCGUUGUGCGCAGACCUGUAGUUUUUCACAAUUAAAUUGACAGAGAUUCGGUUUGCAAAUCAGAGAUUGAGAACAGUUUGAAACAAGGGCGAGUGAGCAGAGAGCAUUACCAUCGAAACGGUUUGUUAAAGAUGGUGCCAAGUGAGCAGGGCUGUCCCCUUCUGAGCUGCCCCUCCUAAUUAAAGGGGAAGGUGGCUGCCAUCUGUUUUCUUUCAUUCAAGGCAGUAGGGGGUCUAGGGUGGAAGGAAGCAACCCCCCCUCUUAUUUUUCUCCCACUCUUUUUUUUAAAGUCGGCUUUCUCCCUAGUCAGUGACCCAGAAGGUCAUUGAUGAUCUGUCUAUCUCAGAAUGAAUAGUAACAUAAGCAUGCAAGGCACUU